rnacentral:rRNA from 1 species
GCGGCAUGCUUUACACAUGCAAGUCGAACGGCAGCGCGGGGCAACCUGGCGGCGAGUGGCGAACGGGCCAGUAAUACAUCGGAACGUACCCAGAAGUGGGGGAUAACGUAGCGAAAGUUACGCUAAUACCGCAUACGUUCUACGGAAGAAAGUGGGGGACCUUCGGGCCUCAUGCUUUUGGAGCGGCCGAUGUCUGAUUAGCUAGUUNNNNAGGUAAAGGCUCACCAAGGCGACGAUCAGUAGCUGGUCUGAGAGGACGACCAGCCACACUGGGACUGAGACACGGCCCAGACUCCUACGGGAGGCAGCAGUGGGGAAUUUUGGACAAUGGGCGCAAGCCUGAUCCAGCAAUGCCGCGUGAGUGAAGAAGGCCNNCGGGUUGUAAAGCUCUUUUGUCAGGGAAGAAACGGCUGGGGCUAAUAUCCCCGGCUAAUGACGGUACCUGAAGAAUAAGCACCGGCUAACUACGUGCCAGCAGCCGCGGUAAUACGUAGGGUGCAAGCGUUAAUCGGAAUUACUGGGCGUAAAGCGUGCGCAGGCGGUUUUGUAAGUCUGACGUGAAAUCCCCGGGCUCAACCUGGGAAUUGCGUUGGAGACUGCAAGGCUGGAGUCUGGCAGAGGGGGGUAGAAUUCCACGUGUAGCAGUGAAAUGCGUAGAGAUGUGGAGGAACACCGAUG